GAUGAACGCUGGCGGCGUGCCUAAUACAUGCAAGUCGAGCGAACAGACGAGGAGCUUGCUCCUCUGACGUUAGCGGCGGACGGGUGAGUAACACGUGGAUAACCUACCUAUAAGACUGGGAUAACUUCGGGAAACCGGAGCUAAUACCGGAUAAUAUAUUGAACCGCAUGGUUCAAUAGUGAAAGACGGUUUUGCUGUCACUUAUAGAUGGAUCCGCGCCGCAUUAGCUAGUUGGUAAGGUAACGGCUUACCAAGGCAACGAUGCGUAGCCGACCUGAGAGGGGGACGGCCCACACGGGAAUUGAGACCGGGACCAGCCCCUGCGGGGGGGCACGAGGAGGAAUUCUUCCGAAAGGGGGAAAGGCCGGAGGGACCACCCCCGGUGGAGUAAGAAAGUUUUUGGAAUCUAAAACCUUUUUUAUUAGGAAAAAAAAAAUGUGUAAGUAACUAUGCACGCCUGGAGGGUCCCUAAUAAGAAGGCCAGGGCAAGCUCGGCC
rnacentral:rRNA from 1 species